UUUUUAGUGUAAUUAUGUUUCAUGGAAUAUUUGGGACAUACUUAUACUAAAG
rnacentral:pre_miRNA from 1 species